AGGACGAACGCUGGCGGCGUGCCUAACACAUGCAAGUCGAACGGGACCAGGGGCAACUCUGGUUCAGUGGUGGACGGGUGCGUAACACGUGAGGAACAUGACCUUCGGCGGGGGAUAGCCGGCCCAACGGCCGGGUAAUACCGCGUACGACCACAUGGGGACAUCCCUGAGUGGUGAAAGCAGCAAUGCGCCGAUGGAGUGCCUCGCGGCCUAUCAGCUAGUUGGUGAGGUAACGGCUCACCAAGGCGACGACGGGUAGCUGGUCUGAGAGGAUGGCCAGCCACAUUGGGACUGAGACACGGCCCAGACUCCGUACGGGAGGCAGCAGGUGGGAAUAGUUGCGCGAAUGGAACGAAAGUCUGACGCGAGCGACGCCGCGUGGUGGAUGGACGGUUCUUCGGAUUCGUAAACCACGUGGUCGGGAGGACGAAGUACGCCGCGAAGGCGGUGACCGGUACCACGAAAGGAGCCGACCGCUAACCUCCGACGCCAGCGACGCCGAC
rnacentral:rRNA from 1 species